rnacentral:rRNA from 1 species
AGUGAACGCUGGCGGUAGGCCUAACACAUGCAAGUCGAACGGCAGCACAGUAAGAGCUUGCUCUUACGGGUGGCGAGUGGCGGACGGGUGAGGAAUACAUCGGAAUCUACUUUUUCGUGGGGGAUAACGUAGGGAAACUUACGCUAAUACCGCAUACGACCUACGGGUGAAAGCAGGGGAUCUUCGGACCUUGUGCGAUUGAAUGAGCCGAUGUCGGAUUAGCUAGUUGGCGGGGUAAAGGCCCACCAAGGCGACGAUCCGUAGCUGGUCUGAGAGGAUGAUCAGCCACACUGGAACUGAGACACGGUCCAGACUCCUACGGGAGGCAGCAGUGGGGAAUAUUGGACAAAGGGCGCAAGCCUGAUCCAGCCAUACCGCGUGGGUGAAGAAGGCCUUCGGGUUGUAAAGCCCUUUUGUUGGGAAAGAAAAGCAGCAGGUUAAUACCCCGCUGUUCUGACGGUACCCAAAGAAUAAGCACCGGCUAACUUCGUG